GUCUAUGGCCAUGCCACCCUGAAAAAGUCCAAUCCCAUCUGAUCUCAGAAGCUAAGCAGGGUCAGGCCUGGUUAGUACUUGGAUGGGAGACCACCUAGGAAGAUCAGGUGCUGUAGGCA
rnacentral:rRNA from 1 species